rnacentral:tRNA from 1 species
GUAUUGUUAGCUCAGUCGGUAGAGCAGUUGACUUUUAAUCAAUUGGUCGCAGGUUCGAGCCGAGCAAAGCGAGACAACA